rnacentral:lncRNA from 1 species
AGACUGAGAAUGUUCAGUGUUCGGAGGCCCAGAAAGUCCUCCCUGAAUAGUAAGUUCAAGCUGGAUGAAAUAAAGGAUGUUUCUGGAAAAGAAAUAGGGAUAAAAAUCCCUAAGGCUUCAUUCAGAUAUUUCCAGAGACGAGGUAGGCCCCCUUUUCUCAUAGAGAAUCUCUCCUUUUUUUCUUCCUCUAAAUAGCAAUUUAGUGGGCUAUGGGAAUCUCUCCUCCCUUAUGAGUGAACUAAGCAUCCCAAAUAGUCACAGUUGUUUUUGUUUCAGUUUCCAUGAGAGUAAAACCUGAAGCAAGGACUUGGGCGCAGGCAGUUUAUUUGGGAGGGGUGGUGGUUGCUGGAUGGGCCACUCAGAAAUUCCCUCGGGAGUGAAGGGCAGAUUCCCCAUCCUCCAGGGAUGGCUUCAGUUGCAAAGAGCCUCCUAGUCCAGGGCCACACCCACUUCCAGGUUGCUUACAUCCAAUGACUGAUGGAAGCCAGGAUACAAAGCUCUGGCCCCUCACCCCAACUCAGGAUAACCCAGAAGUGUCAUCUCAGCUUCAAAGCUCCUCGGAGGUGUCAGACAUGUUCUGGGAAAGCAGGUGCUAGGAUGGGAGUUUGGAGCUGGAUCACCAUUGCCCGGCUGGCGGCGAGGACCAUGUUACGGCCGCAUGUGACUUCCAUCCUCGUGGUUUGCAAGAUGGUUGCUGUAACUCCAAGAGUUGUGAACACGCUCCGGACAGAAGAAGGAGGGAGGAGGAAAGAAGGAGAAGAGCCAGUAUUGGGAAAAUGGAAGCUUUCCUCAGAAAUCCCCCAUGGACUUCCGCUUCUGUCUCAUUGGCCAGAACGGGGUCAUGUGACGACUGGCUGUGAAGAGGUCUGGGAAGGUUCAUGUUUUCAGCUGAGUAUAUUGUAGGGCUGAACAAAAUUGGGGUUUUGUGGUGAGAAGGAAGUAGAGAUUAGAAUGGGGGAAUAACUAGCCGUUCUGGCAUGUGUCACGGUCUACUUCUUUAUUUCUUCUAACUUUAGAACCAGACAAAUAGGUGAAUAAACAAACAAAAAAAUCUUUCUU